GACAGAGGUGCCAAGCGUUAGGCGGAAUCACUGGGCUUAAAGCGUGUGUAGGCGGAUCGUUAAGUACCUUGUGAAAUCCCACGGCUCAACCGUGGAACUGCUGGGUAUACUGGCGAUCUUGAGCCACCUAGGGGCGAGCGGAACAAGCGGUGGAGCGGUGAAAUGCGUAGAUAUUGGGAGGAACACCAGUGGCGAAGGCGGCUCACUGGACCGGUUCUGACGCUGAUGCGCGAAAGCGUGGGGAGCAAACGGG
rnacentral:rRNA from 1 species